rnacentral:rRNA from 1 species
CCUACGGGAGGCAGCAGUAGGGAAUCUUCCACAAUGGACGAAAGUCUGAUGGAGCAAUGCCGCGUGAGUGAAGAAGGUUUUCGGCUCGUAAAACUCUGUUGUUAAAGAAGAACACCUUUGAGAGUAACUGUUCAAGGGUUGACGGUAUUUAACCAGAAAGCCACGGCUAACUACGUGCCAGCAGCCGCGGUAAU